GAUGAACGCUGGCGGCGUGCCUAAUACAUGCAAGUCGAGCGAACGGAGGAGAAUCUUGCUUUUCUGAUGUUAGCGGCGGACGGGUGAGUAACACGUGGAUAACCUGCCGAUAAGACUAGGAUAAGGUCGGGAAACCGGAGCUAGUACAGGAUAAUAGUUUGAACCGCAUGGUUCAAAAGUGAAAGACGGUCUUGAUGUCACUUAUAGAUGGAUCCGCGCUGCAUUAGCUAGUUGGUAAGGUAACGGCUUACCAAGGCAACGAUGCAUAGCCGACCUGAGAGGGUGAUCGGCCACACUGGAACUGAGACACGGUCCAGACUCCUACGGGAGGCAGCAGUAGGGAAUAUUCGGCAAUGGGCGAAAGCCUGACGGAGCAACGCCGCGUGAGUGAUGAAGGUCUUCGGAUCGUAAAACUCUGUUAUUAGGGAAGAACAUAUGUGUAAGUAACUGUGCACAUCUUGACGGUACCUAAUCAGAAAGCCACGGCUAACUACGUG
rnacentral:rRNA from 1 species